rnacentral:rRNA from 1 species
ACCCGCUGAACUUAAGCAUAUCAAUAAGCGGAGGAAAAGAAACCAACAGGGAUUGCCCCAGUAACGGCGAGUGAAGCGGCAACAGCUCAAAUUUGAAAUCUGGCCUCACGGUCCGAGUUGUAAUUUGCAGAGGAUGUUUCUGGCAAGGUGCCUUCCGAGUUCCCUGGAACGGGACGCCAUAGAGGGUGAGAGCCCCGUCCGGUUGGUCGCCGCGCCUAUGUGAAACCCCUUCGACGAGUCGAGUAGUUUGGGAAUGCUGCUCUAAAUGGGAGGUAUACGUCUUCUAAAGCUAAAUACCGGCCAGAGACCGAUAGCGCACAAGUAGAGUGAUCGAAAGAUGAAAAGCACUUUGAAAAGAGGGUUAAAAAGUACGUGAAAUUGUUGAAAGGGAAGCACUCAUGACCAGACUUGGGCCGGUUGAUCAUCCGUCGUUCUCGGCGGUGCACUCUGCCGGCCCAGGCCAGCAUCAGUUCGUCCCGGGGGAUAAAGGUUUCGGGAAUGUGGCUCCUCCGGGAGUGUUAUAGCCCGUUGCGUAAUACCCUGGGGUGGACUGAGGUUCGCGCUUUCGCAAGGAUGCUGGCGUAAUGGUCUU